UUGUUUACUUUUUAAUUUAAACUGAGGAAAACCAAGGACCACGUGUCGGUGCAUAAAACUUUAGUGAUUAAGAAUUCUGAUUUCCUCGAACCCACACCACUUGAAAAUUUUCAGGUGCCCCAAAUUAAGAACACGGAGAGAUUCAACGUAAUAUAAAUUGUGACGAUGGCAAAGAUAUAUCUGUUAAACUGGAGAUUUUUAAAAAGAAAUUCUAGAAGCAAUGUUGUUUUGGUGAAUUAUUGAAGAUAUUAUGACAAUCUGUGUCGAAAUAAAAGGGUUCAGUAUCGAUUUUCUACAGC